rnacentral:rRNA from 1 species
AUCCCCUACUCCUACGGGAGGCAGCAGUGGGGUAAUAUUGGGCAACGGGGGAAAGCUGAUCCCAGUAAUGGCGCGUGUGUGGAGGAAGGUUUUAUGACGGAAAACUCGUUAAGCGAGGAGGAACAUACUGAAGCUAAUACGACGGAUAGUGACGUACUCGCAGAGAAGCCCG